rnacentral:rRNA from 1 species
UACGUAGGUGGCGAGCGUUGUCCGGAAUUAUUGGGCGUAAAGCGCGCGCAGGCGGGAAAGUAAGUCCACUUUAAAAGUGCGGGGCUCAACCCCGUGAUGGGGUGGAAACUGCUUUUCUUGAGUGCCGGAGAGGAAAGUGGAAUUCCCAGUGUAGCGGUGAAAUGCGUAGAUAUUGGGAGGAACACCAGUGGCGAAGGCGACUUUCUGGACGGUGUCUGACGCUGAGGCGCGAAAGCCAGGGGAGCGAACG